rnacentral:rRNA from 1 species
GAAGAUUACAAGCACAAGCUUAAAACUCAAAGGACUUGGCGGCGCUUUAAAUCCACCUAGAGGAGCCUGUCCUAUAACCGAUAAUCCCCGUUAAACCUCACCCCCUCUUGCUCUCAGCCUAUAUACCGCCGUCGUCAGCUUACCCUGUAAAGUCUAUUAGUAAGCAAAAACGGUUCUGCCCAAAACGUCAGGUCGAGGUGUAGCUUAUGAGGGGGGAAGAGAUGGGCUACAUUUCCUGCCUAGGGUACUUUACGGAUUAUUCAUUGAAACAUGAAUAUUGAAGAAGGAUUUAGUAGUAAGCAAAAAAUAGAGCGUCUUGCUGAAACAGGCUCUAAAGCGAGUACACACCGCCCGUCGCUCUCUCCUAAAUAACUAUUCAUUUUAUAUAAAACGUUUAAACUCACAAGGAGGGAUAAGUCGUAACAUGGUAAGAGUACUGGAAAGUGCUCUUGGUCAAU